CCUACGGGAGGCAGCAGUGGGGAAUAUUGCACAAUGGGGGAAACCCUGAUGCAGCGACGCCGCGUGGGUGAAGAAGUACUUCGGCGUGUAAAGCUCUAUCAGCAGGGAAGAAAAUGACGGUACCUGAUUAAGAAGCCCCGGCUAACUACGUGCCAGCAGCCGCGGUAAUACGUAGGGGGCAAGCGUUAUCCGGAUUUACUGGGUGUAAAGGGGGCGUAGACGGCAGGACAAGUCAGGAGUGAAAUGCCGGGGCUUAACCCCGGGACUGCUCUGGAAACUGUGUGGCUGGAGUGCAGGAGGGGUAGGUGGAAUUCCUGGUGUAGCGGUGAAAUGCGUAGAUAUCAGGAGGAACACCAGUGGCGAAGGCGGCUUACUGGACUGUAACUGACGUUGAGGCCCGAAAGCGUGGGGAGCAAACAGGAUUAGAUACCCGAGUAGUC
rnacentral:rRNA from 1 species